UACGUAGGGUGCAAGCGUUGUCCGGAAUUAUUGGGCGUAAAGAGCUCGUAGGCGGUCUGUCGCGUCGGAUGUGAAACCUCGGGGCUCAACCCCGAGCCUGCAUUCGAUACGGGCAGACUAGAGUUCGGUAGGGGAGACUGGAAUUCCUGGUGUAGCGGUGAAAUGCGCAGAUAUCAGGAGGAACACCGGUGGCGAAGGCGGGUCUCUGGGCCGUAACUGACGCUGAGGAGCGAAAGCAUGGGGAGCGAACAGG
rnacentral:rRNA from 1 species